GUGGGGGGCGAAAGCGCCUACACUUCAGGCACGGGUCAGACGGCUUCCGACAGGGGAUGCUCGUCGGUGUGAACGGCUAACCCCACCGGGCCCUGUCCUGUUAAAAAAAGAAAAAGCAUCCUCUGCCCCGCGGCGCAAAGAUCCCGCUCCUCUUGGGCGAAAGAUGCCUCGUUGCCCAACAAACAGCCUUAUCUCUCUUCUCCUGGCCGCGGGGAGCGGCAGGAAAUCGGGGCAGCUGCCGGCAGCUGCUGGCGAUGUCUCGAAAGCCGCAGGCAGGGUCACGGCCGCUGCCGCGCUCCCACCGCCGUGUCCCGAGGUGGCGUAACCCGGGGAGGGGGGUUCACGGGCUUAUCCACAGCCUCUCCCUUUGCUCCCACCUGUCAUCUCUAGUUUUUCUUCAUUUCUUUGCUGUCCGCCCACCCCAUCCCCUACAGCUGGAGCGACCGAGUCCCUAAGGACAAGGCAGGUUGCCCACGCGAAAGCACGGAGAGUUUGAGCCCCGGGAGGACAUCUUCUGCCCUCUACCCCCGCCCCGGGCGGUCCCAGCGCCGCGCUUCCCGCGGGGCUUUCGACGAGCCCUGGGCACCGGACCGGGCUCCGCCGGGGGCGGUGAGGCGCCGCGCUACCCCCGAGGAGCCGCGCUGGGAGAAAUACAGAUGCAAAAGCAGGACGUGGGUAAAUGAGAGAAGAUAAGGUAUUGCUCCUGCAAGCAGAACAUCCUGUCUUCAAAGUGGGCAACAAGCCAUUCCUGUGGUGCUGGAUGGGGAUGGGGAAAGUUGCCAGAAAAAUUUUUGGUGCACGUGCAGUAAAAAUCCUCUCCCCACAAAUUCUGGUUUGUAAAAGAUUUCUAACAGAAGUGAGCACUCUGCCCUUAUUGGACUCUCUUUUGUGCAAAUCAGCUAGCAGCAGGAAUUUCAAAGGAGCAGAUAAAAUGAACCAUGUUAUAGGUCAACAGAGGAGGAUAUUAUCCGAGGAGCUUUCACUAUUCUUCCUGUGUUGUCUGCCCUGCUGAUCCAUUUCGGCAGAGCUAGCAGUCAAGCUCCACUUGCAAAGAGGAUAUUGGGAAAUGAGAUUAAUGCACCUCAGGCUGAGUGUGCUACCUGGGA
rnacentral:lncRNA from 1 species